CAAGUACUUACAUCCUGGUGUGAAGGGUGGGGCAAAGCCCCCACCUCCACACGAGUCCUGGCCCUGCGCCUCCUCCGUCCCAUCUCUCCACUUUGGAAUAAACUUUAUCAUAAUAUUCAGUUCAUGGUUUUUAACCAGUUAAAAAUUCGUUUUAAAUUCCAAGGUAACUGCUCCAUAAUCAAGUAACCAAAAAAUUUUUAUUAUGAACAAACGGUAAACUUACAAUUGUUAUAACUUCACAAAAAAAAAAAAAAAAAAAUACUCUUCUAACCGAUGUACAAUUGUCUCCUUAAACAAUACAGCAAAACACCAAUUAAAAACCACUCAUCGACGUCAUCUUUCAUCCGAAACAAGGUGACAAUCAGAAGUAUCCACCACAGUCAAAGCAUAGCGCCAGAGAAGAGCAAGCGCCAUCCAUUGGCAUGUCUUUUUAUAGUUAAUCACAUUUGCAUAUUAUAUUCAAAUAUUAAACAAAAUAUCAAAACAUUAAUUGAAAUAAACCGCACACAAAAAACGGGGCUCCAAACAGGC
rnacentral:lncRNA from 1 species